rnacentral:rRNA from 1 species
GACGAACGCUGGCGGCGUGCUUAACACAUGCAAGUCGAACGGAAAGGCCCUGCUUUUGUGGGGUGCUCGAGUGGCGAACGGGUGAGUAACACGUGAGUAACCUGCCCUUGACUUUGGGAUAACUUCAGGAAACUGGGGCUAAUACCGGAUAGGAGCUCCUGCUGCAUGGUGGGGGUUGGAAAGUUUCGGCGGUUGGGGAUGGACUCGCGGCUUAUCAGCUUGUUGGUGGGGUAGUGGCUUACCAAGGCUUUGACGGGUAGCCGGCCUGAGAGGGUGACCGGCAAAGUGGGGCCUGAGAUCGGCCCAAGCCUCUGCGGGGGGCCAGCAGGGGGAAUUAUGCACCAAGGGGCGGAGGCCGGAGGCAGCACCCCCGGGGGGGGGAGGCCGGCCUCGGGUUUGAAACCCGUUUUCGCCUGUAACGAGGCGGGGGUGACGGAAAGGGGUAAAAAAGCCCCGGCUAACUCCGUG